rnacentral:rRNA from 1 species
GACGAACCACACGAACGUUAUUCGGAAUUACUGGGCUUAAAGGGUGCGUAGGCUGUGCGGAAAGUUAGGUGUGAAAUCCCCCGGCUCAACCGGGGAAUUGCGCUUAAAACUACCGUGCUAGAGGAAGACAGAGGUGAGCGGAACUUCGGGUGGAGCGGUGAAAUGCGUUGAUAUCCGAAGGAACACCGGUGGCGAAAGCGGCUCACGGGGUCUUUUCUGACUCUGAUGCACGAAAGCUAGGGGAGCAAACGGG